UUUAUGGGACUUGUAAAAUUAAUUAAAUCAGUUGUAGAUCCUCGACUUGGACCUCCAGAUGUAGACGAAUUUCUUCUGUAUGGAACCGGAGGUGGAGGCGCAAUUAUAGCCAUAGUUCUUGGUUGACCGGUAUUGAAUGAUCCUGGCCUAGGGCGACUUCUCAAGAGAAGCCUAAAGAUUUCCAGCACAUUUUUCAGCUUGCUAUGAAUUAUAAAUACUGUUAUAUUACUUUAAACUAUGCUGAGUGAAAAAGUUUUACUUUGUCAUGUAAACGUAGAGAUGAAGGAUCUUGCUAGUUCAAGUAUAAAGAACGAGGAUGAAUAAGGAAAAAGGUAGUAGGUAUAAGGAAGGUUGAUAUUUGUGAAAGUAUUUUUGAGAAUUUUUAUUAACUCUAAAAAUACACGUAUUUCUGAACGCACAACCAUUUACAAAAUUGCAGGAGGAGUGGUAUUAUGAAAUGUAAAAAAUAAAAUAAGGAGGAUAAGGAGAAAAGUCACAAAUGAUGAGAAUAAGCCGAAGAAAGUUGACGUUGUUAUCUAACCUGGAAAAAUGGAAAGAUAAAAAUAUUCUUAACUCAUCAAGGAUUAAAAAAUUUGAUUCGUGGUUUAUAAUCAACA